AAUGAUCGCAGACAAACACCAGCAUUUACUAAAGCUGAAGGGACAGCAAAUUGCUAGAGCACUUUCCCAACCCCUUUGCAUUUAUCCUGAUUUCUUUUCCAAGAAUGAUAUGUGAUCCAAUUAGAGAGUUAAUGAAAGCAUUAGGGAGUUCAUAAAAAGCAAAGGCUUAUAUUAAACAUACUAAACAGCUUGUCCUUUGACCAUAGGUGGUAAGAUGGUGGAACCAGCUUACAUCUAUUUUGCUACCAUAGAUUCUAGCCAAAUGAAGGGUAUAAUGUUCUCAAUUCUGACAUACAAGAAACUACACCAGAUCUGCAUUUCCACCUGGUCACAACCACCUGUAGCUGGAUGGUUGUGCUCUCCUUACACUGGUCUUGUACUGGAGUCUCAAGUUCCUGGCCAGUGGACUUCACGUAUUUAAGUUACCUGCUUGGCUCCAAAAGGCAACUGAGAUUUUGUGUCAGAGCCAAAUACUUCUGCAGGAGAAUUCAAGAUGGUCAAAUAAGUGGAAGGAAGUUAGAGGAAAAAGAAGGUGAGGCCCAGCACAAUCUCAUGAGCUUCUGAAUAUAAAGUACAUUUCAUACUCAGACUCCUACAGUGACACCGGAUUUCUUCAAAAGCCUUCAGACUCUACUUAUAAUAGAUGGUUUCUGUAGAUCACCAAGUGGAGGUAACACUCCUGGAGCUGAGACCUAAACAGAAGACACCGAGGUGUUUGCAUUCUGUAGGCAGAAGCUGAAGACCAGACACAAGAGGCUACCGGCCUUAACCUGCGACGCUGUCCCCUAGAAGUAUUUUAAGUCGCUCAAAGGCAUUCAUCUUAUCUGAUUCAUCUUGUGCCCACUGGUGAUUCUAAUUCAGUGUCCUGACUGCAGGUGGAACAUUCACUAUGUUGAGAAGAGGGCUCCAAGCCAAGAAAAGGCUCAGGUGUCAAAAGUGACCUUCAUCCCUGUGGGAUAUGUGACCAAACCAGGAGCUUUUAAAUUAAGACUUCUUCCAUCACUGAGACAAGAACCUCUAUUAAAUACUUACUUGCUAAUCUGCACUUUUAAAAGAGCAUGUAUCAUAAAUACAAUGAACACCCUAAAAAUACAGCAAAGUAAAUAAAGAGGUAAAAUAAAUAAAGAAGGAAAAAUGAGAUAAGGCAUGGCAAUGCCUCUUCC